GACGAACGCUGGCGGCGUGCUUAACACAUGCAAGUCGAACGGAAAGGCCCUGCAUUGGUGGGGUGCUCGAGUGGCGAACGUGGGAGUAACACGUGAGUGACCUGUACUGGACUUUCAGAUAACUUCAGGAAACUGGGUCGCAUAGCGGAUAGGAGCUCCUGCUGCAUGGAGACGUUUGGAAAGUAUCGGCGGUUGGGUAUGGACACGCGGCUUAGCCACUUGUUCGUGGGGUAGUGGCUUGCCAAGGCUGUGACGGGUAGCCGGCCCGAGAGGGUGACAGGCCACAUUGGGACUGAGAUACGGCCCGGACCACUAUGGGACGCAGGAGUGGGGAAUAUUGCACAGUGGGCGGAAGGCUGAUGCAGCGACGCCGCGUGCGGGAUGACGGCCUUCGGGUUGUAAAGCGAUUUCGCCUGUGACGAAGAGUGAGUGACGGUAAUGGGUAAAGAAGCACCGGCUAACUACGUG
rnacentral:rRNA from 1 species